GACAGAGGGUGCAAACGUUGCUCGGAAUUACUGGGCGUAAGGGGCGUGUAGGCGGGAAGGCAAGUCGGGCGUGAAAGCCCCAGGCUCAACCUGGGAACUGCACUCGAAACUGCCUUUCUUGAGUGUCGGAGGGGAAAGCGGAAUUCCUGGUGUAGAGGUGAAAUUCGUAGAUAUCAGGAGGAACACCAGUGGCGAAGGCGGCUUUCUGGACGAUUACUGACGCUGAGACGCGAAAGCGUGGGGAGCAAACAGG
rnacentral:rRNA from 1 species